AGUGGAUGGGGAGCAACCUAGUUGUGCGUGUGUAAAGGUAGUGCCAAGAAAAGCGAUGAUCAUGUUGAAAAUCAAUUCCCGGUACCCGAAACCGACACAGGUGGGCAAGUAGAGAAUACUAAGGGGCGCGAGGUAACUCUCUCCAAGGAACUCGGCAAAAUGACCCCGUAACUUAGGGAGAAGGGGUGCCACCGAGAGGUGGUCGCAGUGAAGAGGCCCAGGCGACUGUUUAGCAAAAACAUAGGUCUCUGCAAACUCGAAAGAGGAGGUAUAGGGGCUGACGCCUGCCCAGUGCCGGAAGGUUAAAGAAGUUGGUCAGUUUUAGGAUGAAGCUAGCGACUGAAGCCCCGGUGAACGGCGGCCGUAACUAUAACGGUCCUAAGGUAGCGAAAUUCCUUGUCGGGUAAGUUCCGACCCGCACGAAAGGCGUAACGAUCUGGGCGCUGUCUCGGAGAGAGGCUCGGCGAAAUAGGAUUGUCUGUGAAGAUACGGACUACCUGUAUUUGGACAGAAAGACCCUAUGAAGCUUUACUAUAGCUUGGAAUUGUGUUCGGGCUUCCUGUGCGCAGGAUAGGUGGGAGGCGUAGAAGGUAUUCUUGUGGGGAUACUGGAGCCAACGGUGAGAUACCACUCUCAGGAGGCUAGAAUUCUAACUUAAUUAAGGACAGUUUCAGGUGGGUAGUUUGACUGGGGCGGUCGCCUCCAAAAAGGUAACGGAGGCGUACAAAGGUUCCCUCAGACUGGUUGGAAAUCAGUCGAAGAGUGCAAAGGCAGAAGGGAGCUUGACUGCGAGAAGUACAGUUCGAGCAGGGUGGAAACACGGUCUUAGUGAUCCGACGGUGCUGUGUGGAAGGGCCGUCGCUCAACGGAUAAAAGUUACUCUAGGAUAACAGGCUGAUCUCCCCCAAGAGUUCACAUCGACGGGGAGGUUUGGCACCUCGAUGUCGGCUCAUCGCAACCUGGGGCGGAAGUACGUCCCAAGGGUUGGGCUGUUCGCCCAUUAAAGCGGUACGUGAGCUGGGUUCAGAACGUCGUGAGACAGUUCGGUCCAUAUCCGAUGUAGGCGUGAGAAUAUUGAGAGGAGCCUUCCUUAGUACGAGAGGACCGGGAAGGACGCACCGCUGGUGUACCUGUUAUGAUGCCAAUUGUAAACGCAGGGUAGCCAAGUGCGGAGAGGAUAACCGCUGAAAGCAUCUAAGUGGGAAGCCCACCUCAAGAUGAGUAUUCUGGUGUAAGGUCACGGGAAGACGACCCGUAAAUAGGCACGAGGUGGAAGUGCAGAGAUGUAUGAAGCCGAAGUGUACUAAUAGACCGUCGGCUUG
rnacentral:rRNA from 1 species